CUAAUGAGGCGAGCCUUGGCAUCCUUCUUCUACACAAGAUAUUUGAUAAAUGCAUGGUCAGUGUACACAAUGACAUGUGAGCCUAUCAAGUAGGGCCGGAACUUUUCUAAUGCAAAUACAACAGCUAUAAAUUCUUUUUCAGUAGUGGUAUAAUUAAGUUGUGCAUCAUCUAGAGCCCUACUUGCAUAAUAAAUGACAUGGGGCACCUUAUUGAAAUCCUUUAACCCAAAACC